AUGUGUGCCUGGGGGUCCUGCUCACACUGCCCUCUCUGUCCCACACAGGGGCUGCCAGGGGCGGCUGGUGCUGAUGGGCAGAAGGUGAGAAUGUCUGGGCACAGCAUGGUGACAGAGUGCUGGGAGCUGGGGUUGGAUGCACACAGAGCCCACAGGGACCCUGAGGCUUUUGUUGGGGGGAUGUGGGGCGUUGGUACUGGGAGCAAAGAGCAGCCGUGCUGGGGAGAUGAGGAGAUGACGUUGCAGACAUGGGGAUGGGGAGCCCAGGAACAGAGAGGGCAAAGCUCUGCCCACUCAUCCCUGGAGCAUCCCCAGUGUCUGCCCAAGGGAGGUGAUGCUGGUGACAUCUGUCUGUCUGUCCCACAGGGCCAGAAAGGCGAGAAGGGUGAUGGGGGACUUCAGGGCAAGCCGGGCCGUCCGGGUCGUGAUGGCCGGCCUGGAGAGAUCUGUGUGGUGGGUCCCAAGGGCCAGAAGGUAAGUGGGGUCUUGGGGGCAUCUGAUGGCACCCAGGAGCAAUGCCAUGGACACCCCUCCUUCCCUUGCAGGGGGACCCAGGUCUUGUGGGACCUGAGGGGCUGGCAGGAGAGCCGGGACCACCAGGGAAACCAGGAGCACCAGGGAUUGGCUUUCCAGGGAAGCCGGGUGAUCCUGGUGGACCCCCAGGUCCAAAGGGAGAAAAGGUGAGUGGGGGGAAUAGGGGGUGUCCACCACCUCCUCCAACCUGAAAGGUCAGUGUGGGGCUCACGGGACCCUCUCGGAUUGUAUCGUGGUGCUGUGGCCUCACUGGGGGCUCAUUCUGGGGAGGGGCUGCUCAGGAGGUGCUGAGAGUCCUACAUGGGGGGUUGGCAGCUGCUGGGGUCUCCUGUAAUAGCUGGUGCUGGG
rnacentral:lncRNA from 1 species